GAGCCCCUCCCGCCUCGCAGCCCAGGAUGGACGCGGCUCCGGGUCCCGCAGUGAGAGGCGCGCCGCCCCCCGAAGCCUGGCUGCUCUGCCCGGGGCGCCCCUUCCUGUCCCCCCGCCGGCGCCGGAGAAGCGACUCGGUGCCCGGGAGCUCCUCGCCCGCGCGGUUGCUGCUGCUGCUGCCGUUCCUGCUGCGGCGCGCCACACCAGGUGCGGUGGCGACGUCGGAGACCAGGAUCGACGGGCGGGCCCUGUCGGUGAGCAGCUUGCGGGAGGCCGAGAGCCGCGCCUUCACCUGCCUGGCGGCGGCCCCCAACCUCACCUGGUACCUCAACGGAGAGCGGCAGGAGACGAACUCAUCCGGGGGGGGCCUGGCCGCGGCCGGCGACGGCUUGGGGGAGGGCGGCAGCGGCACUUUCGUGGUCACGGCGCGGCGCGUGGACCACCGGCUGGACUGCGACGCCACCGACCCGGCCCCGGGGCGCGUCUCCACCGCCUCGGUCCUCCUCAACGUGCAGUUUCAGCCCGAAAUCGUGAAGGUGGACGCUCAUUACCGCGAGGCGAGCGAGCCCGGCCUCCUGCUGGUGCUCUUCGUGCUGGUCCAAGCCAACCCGCCGGCCGACGUGACCUGGGUGGACCAGGACGGGCAGGUGACGGUCAACGCCUCCCGCUUCCUGCUGCUCGACACCCAGACCUAUCCCUGGCUCGCCAACCACACCGUGAGAGUGCAGCUGCACAGCCCGCCCCGGAACGCCUCCCUCCGCGCCUCCAACGGUCUGGGUGUCGCCAGCUCCUCCGUUCCGCUCCCCGAUUUCCUGGCCACCCAGCUUGAACUGCCUCUGGUGGCCCUUGUGGGGGCAGCUACUGUGGCUCUGGUGAUACUGCUGAGUUUUGGGGUGCUAAUCAGUUGGGCUGUUUCCCAACUGAAGCCCAAAAAGUCAGCAGGACAUGGCCUAGCAGUGCAGCUUCCUCUGAGCAAUGUCCUUCAGCCGAAGGAAGCCCAUAUGACACGGGCAAACAGGUCUCUCCCUUCGGACCUGAAACUCAACGAUCUUGUACCAGAACCAAAAACCCUCUUUCCCACUACUUCAAAGGUAGAGCGAAUAGUGCUCCUGCAGAACAAGAUGAAGAUGCUAUUUCGGACCCAAACAAUCACCCGGUCCUUGCUGAACAAGGUUUGGGCCAAUUUCUUACCGUUGGAUAUAUUUAUAGAGCCACUAGUAUGAGUAGCGAUGAAAUCUGGCUGUGAAGUCUGUCACCGUGUCCAUCCCCAGCACAGCAAGAGAGCAAAACAGGCAUCCAGCAGCUGCCCUGCUUCUCCGUCCAACCUGAAGACUGUCUUCCUAACCUGGCCUUUGCCAUCCGCAGACCGGGAAAGCUAUCGCCAUGCACAUCUCAGCCCAGGAUUGCAGCUUUGCAACUUCUAUGCUUAAAGAAUAAAUGACUGUGGUUAAGGUGUUGCCCUUUCCUUCCCCCUGCCUGGAUUUGCCUGCGAGGCUGCUAUGAAAAGGACUCUCAAUCACUCAGUCCCCGGGAUGUAAAAGAAGCCCAAUAAACCCAGGCACGUA